ACAGCUCCGGUUGCGGGGAGGCCCGGGUGGGUACCCGGCGCUCCGGCUCCCAGUCUCCUGGGCUUCUCCAGUCCUUCAGCGCCGUUCUCCGGUCACAGGGAAUGAAAGCGAGGAAGAAGGAAACGGUGUCGAGAAUUGCGAAGAGAGAAAGCAUAGAAAACCCACAUUAGAGGCACUCCCAGAGCAGAAACCCUUCGGAGCAUCCCGACUUCCUCGGCCCGCGUGCAAUCCAGGCAAAAUUGAGGUUGUCUCUGAGCCGCCCUCCCUAAGCAGGUCGGAAAGCCCCCGAAUCAUCCCAGGUCCCGCCGCGCUGCACUCGCAACCUGGGGUGGAGGUCCCUCUAGUGGUUGGCACCAAACAAAAGUUCUGUCUUAUGAAGAGCCGAGGUCAGGAAGCAUUUCCCUGUGCCCAGCGCCAAGGUCUGGGACCUUAGGUCCAAGAAAAGCGUUGGCAAUGUCUGACCACAGGAAUGGGUUCUCGAACUGGGGAGGACUGAAGCUGGAGAUCUGGUCCAGCCCCUACCUCCAGCGUGUGGCCUGAACCCGUUUUGGUUGUACUGCUAUGUUGUGGCCCUGCCCAGGCCUCCAAGGACUGGCUGCUGUUAAGCUGUUUAAAAUCCCUGUAGGCCUCAGAUGGCAGCGACACCAGGGACUCGGCAUAGUCCCCAGCUCUGGCAGGAGUCACCACAGCCCUAGCCUUUAGUUCUCUACAGGCUGGAGUGUCGACAAACUCCACAGGACACAACUUUUUCAAACCAAAUUUACCCUCGCGGUCUGAAAUGACCAGUAGGCCCAGGAGAAUUUUACAUGUGAACAGAACCUAACCCACCCUGGCAAAUAUGAGACGUGUGGUCACUGCGGGAACCUGGCCAGCAGCAGACCAAAGCACAGCCAGCAGGGGAAGGCUGGGGCCCGCAAGAGUUGUGUUACAACAGGACACCCUUCAGUUCUCUUUCACUUCCUUAAAAUAGCAGCAGAGCGACUUUUGUAGACGCAGGCUGCCACAGUUCACACAAGGUCAUGGCUGUUUCCGAAUCCCACCCUUUAUUGCCCUAGCGGAGCCACUCCCCUUACCUCCGCCCCCAGAAACUGCUAGCCUGUUCUUAAAUUGAUACAGUUACCUUUUUAAAUGUUCUAAGUCACCGGCUCUGGAGCUUCUUUGCACUUUGGAACCAACUUGCGGGAAGGAACUUUAAAAAUACUGAUAUCUCGAUCCAUCCCCAGAGGUUCUGAUUUAAUGGUCUUGGGGAUAUGGCCACGGCAUGAGGACUGUUAAAACUCCGCAGGUGAUUCUUAUGUGCAACAAAGUUUAAGAACCACUGAUGUAGGCCAUGUCGAUGUCAGUCUUCACUUAAAUCCAACAAGACCCCAGAGCUAAAACGUUCACCUGAAAGAAACCCCAUUCCCAGGCCUGCAUACUGACCUGCGCUGGCUCACAAGAAGCAAAGUGGUCCCUUAACAGGGGCUUCCUGGAGAAAAUGUCUUGACCUAAAAGAGUGAUUCGAGCUGCAGGGAUUUAAGAGAGACAGGGCCUUGCUCUGUCACCCAGGCUGAAAUGCAGUGUUGCAAUCUUGGCUCGCUGUAGCCUCAAGCUCUUGGACUCAGGCGAUUCUCCUAUCUCAGCUUCCUAAGUAGCUGGGACUACAGGGCUCAGUGUGGUCAAAAGAAGACUAUAGAAUCAAGGAUGAAGAGAAGGAACACAGAAUAAAAGGACGUCUCAGCAGGAAGCUCUGUGACUACUAUGUCAAAUGAUGCCAUACAGUGAAGCACCUUGAAAGAUUGCUGGGAUAAGCUGACAGCAUGGCAGCCAAAAUAGUGACCCCAGGCUUGCAGGAAUUCUGUGCUUUCUGGAGGAAAUGGUCAUGGGUUUCCCAACCUGCCUUUUAAACUAAGGACCGAGCUGAAGAAGCCCCCGUCUUCCAGCGCAUGUUAUUCCCAUGACAGAUGCUAAAAGUUCAAGGGGAGAGCUACAAGAAGUGCGUUUUCCUGUGGCUACUUUCAUGUCUGGAUGCAAUGCCUAGACCUGCAUCCAUCUUGCGACCAACCUGAAGAUGAACAGAAAGGAAGGAAGGAUGGCCCAAUAGCCUGGGAAGAACUGGUGUUCCUGAUACCAUCAUUAACCACAGAAUCUACAAUCCCGGAACCCCCCAUCCUUAACCAUGGAAUCUACAAUCCUAUCUCUAGACCCUUUGUCCAGAUGCUACAGUUUCUUUGUUCAAUCUAGUUUGUGUCAGGAUUUCUGUUCAUUACAUCAAAAGUAUUCUAAUACUUGUAGCAAAGCAACUGGAGAAGUUUUCACUUUGUCUUUAACCAAAGAAGACUUCCAGGAAACAUCUCCUCAGUGGGUUUCUCCCUCACCACUGGAUUUUUAUCUCUGUACUAGUGCUUUGAUUUGUUUUAGGAGUCUCACCUCUCCACCUGUCAUAUUUCCCUGGCAGGCUCAUUUCUGCUAAUGCCCACAAUAUGUGUAUCAAUGAGCUUUCAACGUUAGGUACACAGCUCUUCAGGCAUGUAUAGCACAUUAAUCUGUCUGCUUCUAAGUGGUCUGUUGACAUGUUUGGGUGCCAGUUAUAUCUACAAGGCUGUGAUCAUUGUCCUGGGUUAUUCUGUUUGUUCUCUCUGCAGGAUGCAUUAGGACACCCAAGGCCAUGGCCAUCACUUACAUCUAGGAUUCAAUCUUAUCUCCUGUGAAUCACUGGAAACCUCCUGUCCUGGAACCCUUUUUUUCCACAUCCCACUGGAUGUCAUUCAUAGCAACUGGUCUUGUGGGUUGUCUAUUUUAUUGUGUUGUCUUACUCUUCCUCCUGGUAUCAGUUUUUAAAUCCUCUUGAUGAGAUCAGCUGAUCAGUCGCUAAGCAACAUAGUCCCCCAUGUCUUUGUAAGAUUCUCUGCACUCAUGGCUAGAAUGAUUUAUUCUGGUAUCUUAAGCUGUGUUUCAGAACCUCAUUCUAAAUAUCAACCUAUUCUUGUAAGUCCACUACUGAUCAUCUUUAGAUAUUCUUCAGUCUUCCAGAGUUCCAAAGGGCAGUAGGAAGAAGCAAUGAAAAUACCACCUGUAUUCUCACAUCUUUCAUUGUUCCACUCAAAAAAUACCACCAUGUUCACUUCUGGUGGAACGUUUAUGUCCAUGAGAAGCAGUGGCUUUGAAGAGUUUUGGCAGACUAUGGCGCCUUACUCAACAUUGGGAAGGGGGGUUCCAACUCUUUUAAGGUCUCAUCUUCAGCACUUCUAAACUGUGGGAAACUAUGUGAAAACAAAUGGAGUGGCCAAACACACCAUUCAUCACUGUGCUUCUGGACAGCUGCAAGUCCAUACGUGUUCUGAUGAAGUCUGGCUCUGUUGCCCAGGCUGGAGUGCAAUGGCACAGUCUCGGCUCACUGCAACCUCUGCCUCCUGGGUUCAUGCAAUUCUCCUGCCUCAGCUUCCCAAGUAGCUGGGAUUACAGACAUGCACCACCAUGCCCAGCUAAUUUUUGUAUUUUUAGUACAAACAGGGUUUCACUAUGUUAGUCGGGCUGAUCUUGAACUCCUGACCUCAAGUGAUCCACUCCCCGCAGCCUCCCAAAGUGCUGGGAUUACAGGCGUGAGCCACUGCGCCCGGCCUUUCAGCUGAUUUUCUAAUCAAGAAGUUAUAUCAGUCUUUGUCUGCAGUUGCUCAAAGACUCUCUUUUAAAGUGCAGAGACUAUCCACCUCAGCUAUAGCACAGGGCUCAGCACUGUAUUUCCAGUUAUGGAAUACAGUUAUUUCAUAUAUGUUAUAUUAUUCUUAAUUCUGUCCCUAGUUCCUGCUACUGAGGAAGUCCAUACUCAGCAGGACAGUCUCCUGGUCUGCCAUGAAUUCAAACACAAUCUGUAAAGACAGUGAAGGAAGCUACAUCUGUGCAUGGGGGCUUUAGAGAAUUAUUGGCUUGAAGCAAUAAGAGGAACAUCUGGGCUGAGUAGUCCUCGAAGACUCUCAUGUGAUUCAAAAGUCCUUUUCUUCCUUAUUAUUUCCUAUCUUGCUCUCAAGCAUCUCCUCUGGCAGCAGCAACUGGAACUAAAAGUGAUUUCUCUAUAACAGCGAGCAAGUUUCUCAUGGCCUUUGCUAUUAACUCUUUCAUGCCUGCUGACCUGCAAAAGAAUCAGGAGGGCUGGUGCUGGAGCAGAUGGCGCACUGUGAGUGAUGGUUUAGAUUCUGCCUGGACUCAAACCAUUUGGUUGAUGGCGGGAACCUUGAUUUUCCCCCUUCUUAUCCUGAGAGUGUAGGGUUUCUCUGAAUUAUUAUUUCUUUCUUUGCAAGGAUCCCUGGAUCCUCAUUCCUGAUAUAAGACUAGUUCUAGGUAAGUGCACAUUCAUGUGAUAUAUUGGUUCCAUACUAGGCAAUGGAAGUGCCACAUUAUCUGUAAGGAGCAGGAGAAGAGCCAUUAGCCCCAGUCCUGGGAACGAACUUUCUGUAACUUUAAGAAACAUAAAACUUUAAAUGCAACUGAAAGAUUAUAUUCUGUCACCUCCAACUACUCACCCAUAAAUACAAUAGGCACCACGGAGGCUAGGAUAAAGUGCAAAUUUAAGAUUAUAAGUGUGCUUAUAAUAAAUAUUGACAACAUCAUGCCUUCAAUGUUAUCAAUGUUGAUGUCACCCUGCAGGCCCAAGGUAGAGAGGUAGAACUGCUCCGCUGGCUGCCCUGCCAUACUUUGGGGUCAUGUGAUACGAUCUUCCAUAGCCACGGGGCCUUGGUUGUCAACUCAUUCCUGAACUUUGUGUGCCAAAGUGAGUCCAGCUUCCACACCCUUCACCUCCACCACCAGGCUGAUCCAGACUGCCAGGCUACGAUCCUCCAAGCAGGAUCCUACCUUGAUCUUAAAAACUUCCUAUGAAGAGCUCUACCAUCAUGUUUUCUAAAACCAGAAGCCCACCCUAAUCCCUGCCUGGCUUUUGGUUCCUUCAUUAGAGGCAAUCACUGCCAUAGAGAGCCCCACUCACUAUCCCUCCAUAGACGCCUUAGAACUAGGUUGGGAGCACGAGAUGCUCAGCCUUUAUAUUUUGUUAUCUUGAACCACAUGGGAGUCUUUGAGGACUACCCAGCCCAGACAUUUCUCUUAUUACUGCAAGCCGAUAAUUCUCUAAAGCACCUAAGCACAGACGUAGCUUCCUUCACUGUCUUUACAGAUUGUGUUUGAAUUCAUGGCACAGCAGAAGACUGUCCUGCUGUGUAUGGAGUUCCUCAGUAGCAGGAACUAGGGACAGAAUUGAGAAUAGCACUAACACCAGAAAUACAGUGCUGAGCCCUGUGCUGUAGCUGAGGUGGAUGGUCUCUGACUCUGUGGGCCUCUCUGCAGCCAGUCCAAUUCCUGUCUUUCUCUUGUGAAUAAAUGUUGCUGGCUCCAACUCAGCCUUAUUUUUUGAUGUGAUUCUGACUCCAGUCAUUAAGGGGGAUGUCUUAG
rnacentral:lncRNA from 1 species